UACGGAGGGGACUAGCGUUGUUCGGAAUUACUGGGCGUAAAGGGCGCGUAGGCGCCUUCUAAGUCGAACGUGAAAUCCCCGGGCUCAACCCGGGAACUGCGUCCGAUACUGGAAGGCUUGAGUUCGGGAGAGGGAUGCGGAAUUCCAGGUGUAGCGGUGAAAUGCGUAGAUAUCUGGAGGAAUACCGGUGGCGAAGGCGGCAUCCUGGACCGAGAUUGACGCUGAGGAGCGAAAGCCAGGGGAGCAAACGGG
rnacentral:rRNA from 1 species